rnacentral:rRNA from 1 species
UUAAGCAUAUCAAUAAGCGGAGGAAAAGAAACCAACAGGGAUUGCCCUAGUAACGGCGAGUGAAGCGGCAACAGCUCAAAUUUGAAAUCUGGCCUCCCUUGGGGGUCCGAGUUGUAAUUUGCAGAGGGUGCUUUGGCGUCGGCAGCGGUCUAAGUUCCUUGGAACAGGACAUCACAGAGGGUGAGAAUCCCGUACGUGGUCGCCUGCCUUCGCCGUGUAAAGCCCCUUCGACGAGUCGAGUUGUUUGGGAAUGCAGCUCUAAAUGGGAGGUAAAUUUCUUCUAAAGCUAAAUACCGGCCAGAGACCGAUAGCGCACAAGUAGAGUGAUCGAAAGAUGAAAAGCACUUUGGAAAGAGAGUCAAACAGCACGUGAAAUUGUUGAAAGGGAAGCGCUUGCAGCCAGACUUGCUCGUAGUUGCUCAUCCGGGUCCGCCCGGAGCACUCUUCUGCGAGCAGGCCAGCAUCAGUUUGGGCGACCGGAUAAAGGCCUCUGUCAUGUACCUUCCCUCGGGAAGGCCUUAUAGGGGAGGCGUAAUGCGGCCAGCCCGGACUGAGGUCCGCGCAUCUGCUAGGAUGCUGGCGUAAUGGCUGUAAGCGGCCCGUCUUGAAACACGGACCAAGGAGUCUAACAUCUAUGCGAGUGUUUGGGUGUCAAGCCCGGGCGCGUAAUGAAAGUGAACGGAGGUGGGAACCCUCUCCGGGGGGUGCACCAUCGACCGAUCCUGAUGUCUUCGGAUGGAUUUGAGUAAGAGCAUAGCUGUUGGGACCCGAAAGAUGGUGAACUAUGCUUGAAUAGGGUGAAGCCAGAGGAAACUCUGGUGGAGGCUCGCAGCGGUUCUGACGUGCAAAUCGAUCGUCAAAUUUGGGCAUAGGGGCGAAAGACUAAUCGAACUAUCUAGUAGCUGGUUCCUGCCGAAGUUUCCCUCAGGAUAGCAGUAACGUAUUCAGUUUUAUGAGGUAAAGCGAAUGAUUAGAGGCCUGGGGGUUGAAACAACCUUCACCUAUUCUCAAACUUUAAAUAUGUAAGAAAGUCCUUGUUACUUGAUUGAACGUGGACAUUUGAAUGUACCGUUACUAGUGGGCCAUUUUUGGAA